rnacentral:rRNA from 1 species
GACGAACGCUGGCGGCGUGCUUAACACAUGCAAGUCGAACGGAAAGGCCCUGCUUUUGUGGGGUGCUCGAGUGGCGAACGGGUGAGUAACACGUGAGUAACCUGCCCUUGACUUUGGGAUAACUUCAGGAAACUGGGGCUAAUACCGGAUAGGAGCUCCUGCUGCAUGGUGGGGGUUGGAAAGUUUCGGCGGUUGGGGAUGGACUCGCGGCUUAUCAGCUUGUUGGUGGGGUAGUGGCUUACCAAGGCUUUGACGGGUAGCCGGCCUGAGAGGGUGACCGGGGACAGGGGGAGGGAGGUGGGGCCAAGACGCGGACGGGAGGCGGCAGCGGGGGAUGUGGGAGAAGGGGCGGGGGGCUGAGGCAGCCACUCCGGGCGGGGGAGGAGGGUCGGCGGGGGGGAAGGAGAAGUAGCCAGUGACGAACAGUGAGUGACGGGAAGGGGUAAAGAAGCACAGGCUCACUACGUG